UGAGUUCAGAAUUUUAUAAUUUAUUCUUUUUUUUGUUAAACAAUCUCUAGCAGUAGAAAUAAAUCUUCUGUAAAUUUAAAAAAAAAAAAAAAGAAUGAUUUUAGAACUAGAUAUUGGUGGUGAGAAAGGAAUUAUAAAAAGCAUGAAUGCUAAUACUUGUUCACUGAAUCAGUAAAAAUCUCAUUUCUUUAUUUAUAUCCUACAGAAUGUCAGACAAAAUGAAUUGUAGAAAACAUAAAAGAAAAUAUGGAUUAUACAAUUUAGUUGUAUCCUUCAAUCAUAGAAUACACAAUUAUAUAAGGAAGACAUUUCUUAAAGAAACAAAACAAUGCAGAAGGAAAAUACAAAAUGUGAAUCAAAUGCUGCCAGAAGAAACAGCUACACAAUUCAAUGGAUCCACCAGUCUUUCUACAAGUCACUUUAGUCUCAAUGGAUGCAGUAGUGUUUCUACAAGUCACUUUUUAGUCUC